rnacentral:misc_RNA from 1 species
AAGUCGUAACAAGGUAACCGUAGGUGAACCUGCGGUUGGAUCAUUACUAAAGUAAUAGGCCAUAAUAAGGUCUUUCCAACAUCUUGUGAACCGUUUCUUGCGUGCUUCGGUACGCAAACUAUUUUAACUAUUUUUUUGUCUAACUUUUUUUAUUAAAAAAUAAAAAACAACUUUUGACAACGGAUCUCUAGGCUCUCA